rnacentral:rRNA from 1 species
AUUGAACGCUGGCGGCAGGCCUAACACAUGCAAGUCGAGCGAGUGGCGGACGGGUGAGUAAUGUCUGGGAAACUGCCUGAUGGAGGGGGAUAACUACUGGAAACGGUGGCUAAUACCGCAUACUAUCAGAUGUGCCCAUAUGGGAUUAGCUUGUAGGUGGGGUAACGGCUCACCAAGGCGACGAUCCCUAGCUGGUCUGAGAGGAUGACCAGCCAGACUGGAACUGAGACACGGUCCAGACGCCUACGGGAGGCAGCAGUGGGGAAUAUUGCACAAUGGGCGCAAGCCUGAUGCAGCCAUGCCGCGUGUAUGAAGAAGGCCUUAGGGUUGUAAAGUACUUUCAGCGGGGAGGCGUUACCCGCAGAAGAAGCACCGGCUAACUCCGUGCCAGCAGCCGCGGUAAUAC